AUUGAACGCUGGCGGCAUGCCUUACACAUGCAAGUCGAACGGCAGCGGGGGAGAAGCUUGCUUUUCCUGCCGGCGAGUGGCGAACGGGUGAGUAAUACAUCGGAACGUGCCCUGUAGUGGGGGAUAACUAGUCGAAAGAUUAGCUAAUACCGCAUACGACCUGAGGGUGAAAGUGGGGGACCGCAAGGCCUCAUGCUAUAGGAGCGGCCGAUGUCUGAUUAGCUAGUUGGAGGGGUAAAGGCCUACCAAGGCGACGAUCAGUAGCUGGUCUGGGAGGACGAUAAGCCACGCUGGGACUGAGACACGGCCCAGACUCCUACGGGAGGCAGCAGUGGGGAAUUUUGGACAAUGGGCGAAAGCCUGAUCCAGCAAUGCCGCGUGUGUGAAGAAGGCCUUCGGGUUGUAAAGCACUUUUGUCCGGAAAGAAAUGGCUCUGGUUAAUACCUGGGGUCGAUGACGGUACCGGAAGAAUAAGGACCGGCUAACUACGUGCCAGCAGCCGCCGUAA
rnacentral:rRNA from 1 species